CUGGCCGGUGAUGGCUUUAUUUGAUCUGCUGCCCAAUCUGCGUUGUCCUGAAACCUGAAACCUGGAAGGCUGGAAGUGAUCCCUGUCCUCUCAGUGGAUGCUCAUUAACUGAAUGAUUAUUUACAAAAGUAGAUGCUGAUCGUUUUUAAAGUGCUCUUUCUUAGAAUUAAGACACAAUUUCAGCUAUGGCAAGAUGCAAAGGCAUAACCUGGUGAUAGAAGAAGGCUGACUUGGAAGUAAGAAGACAUGCUAUGUUACUUUAGAAUCAUUCCUGGAAACCCUGCUGCUCCUUGAAUUUGGGUCAAAGAUAAUAAAUAUUGGAUUUGAAUAUCUCAGUCUUCAACAGACAGCUCGUCCUCGCCCCGGCAGACUGCCCAGCGGCCUCAGAGUGCGCGACUGCAUUUUUAAAAUCCCCCGGAAAGCUCCCUGCAUUGUGAGCAGGUCCUGCUGACCAGGCUGAGUUUUACAGCCGAGCUCUCAGCAAUGCCGUUUACUGCACACGACAGAUCACAGCAGCAGAUGUGGGCGGCCUCGCUCCAGCCUCUUGAAAUUGCAUCUGUUUUGAAAUGUGACUCGACUUCAAUCUGAAGCUGACCAUA